CUUUGAAUUAGUCUACAGAUUACUUACAUUUAUUAUAUAUAACGUGUGUCUAAAAGGGUGUGUGUGUGUGUGUGUGUGUGUGUGUGUGUGUGUGUGUGUGUGUGUGUGUGUGUGUGUGUGUGUGUGUGUGUGUGUGUGUGUGCAACCUGUCGUCUGUUUGAUUUCAUGCUGCUGAAAGAUGGCAAGGACAGUGAGGAUGUCUGGGUGGUGAAAUAAGCUGUCAUCUUAUGCAAAGGUGUAACCAAAACCUUCAUAGUACACCAGCACUAAAAAAAGAAAAGAAAAAAACCCAGAAUGACUGCCCUUAUACCAAAGGACCUUUAUAUUCCACUUUGCGAACAGAUGACACCACCAAGAUCUGUGUCGCAGAGUUUGUUGUCUUCCCCAAGCACUUAAUGUGAUCAGAGAAUUAAAAUUUCAGCGAGUCGUUUAAUGACAGCCCAGGCCAAAGGCAAGCAAAGCAAGCUAGAGUUUCCUGUUCUGCAGUCAUAUCUCUGGCACCCAAAGCCCUCUCAUUUUGUUCGCCGAGUACAUUACAGCGCCCGUGAAUGCUUCGCAAGUUUCACUAUUGAAUGUGAUCAGAUAGAUUUAUUAUGGGCCAUGAGGUCAUCGGGAUUUUCUGUAACUGGAGUCAGGUCCUACAACAGUGUAAAGCAGAAACAUUUACAUUUAAUUACUUUUAUUGAGCCCCUCUUCAUUUUACUUGUAAUAAAACACUCCCGUCACUGAGUGCAGAUUAUAAUGGUAUUCAAAUAAAAACCACAAAAGCUGUCCUUGAACCGACAGAUUGGGUUUGUGAUAUCUCUGUUUCACGUCUUUGUAUUAAAAGAGAUGGCGGGAGUCUUGUAAAUAUGUAAAUACAGACAUUACAGCAAUGCUUUUGAGGAUAUUUUAACAGCUUAAGGCCAAGGAUUAGCUGGCAUCUCUGCUUUUCCUUUUUUUUCUUCUUUUUUUUUUGUUCUUUGAAAAUUUAUCUGCUGUUCAAGUGAGCAAGAGGCUUCUCAGUUACACUUGAAUGAAUGGAGCAUAUCAAAGUAGCGACACUUUGAUGAGCUUUUUAUGUAUUUCAAGGGAUUAGUGUAGAGAGACUUGUAAUGCUCAUAAACAGCUCAAAAAAUUGGAUAAUUUAGCAGUUUCACGCUCAUUUAUUUCCCCCUCUUCUUUAUAAUCCUAUGCAGUGGGUUUGCAUACUUUGGAAGUUGGCCAAUAUAGAAGUACAGCCGUGAGAUAUCAGUGUCAGCAGCACUUUCGGCAUGCAUGUUAGCAUGCGUGUGUCAGAAUUUCUCCCUGUGUGCGUUUGUAAAUUUGUGUCAGUGUCUGGGCUCUAGAUGCUUUGUCUCAUUAAUGAGCGGCGUUCAGGGCCUCCACGGAGGCCUGGGGAAGAUAAUAUUCUCCUGUUUUGCUAUGAAAGCUCUUCUGAACGUAACCGAAGAAACUCCCUCAAAUGGCGAAGGGCUCGGUUGAAUAAUUCAGCAUUUACAAUCAAUUCUGGCCCCACCUCAUCUCGACACCUCCCCGGACCACAGGGCCUACAGGCUCAUCAUGGGAAUGUUGACAAUUCCCAGUAC
ensembl:lncRNA